rnacentral:rRNA from 1 species
GAUGAACGCUGGCGGCGUGCCUAAUACAUGCAAGUCGAGCGAACAGACGAGGAGCUUGCUCCUCUGACGUUAGCGGCGGACGGGUGAGUAACACGUGGAUAACCUACCUAUAAGACUGGGAUAACUUCGGGAAACCGGAGCUAAUACCGGAUAAUAUAUUGAACCGCAUGGUUCAAUAGUUAAAGACGGUUUUGCUGUGACUUUUAGAUGGUUCCGCGCCGCAUUAGCUAGUUGGUAAGGUAACGGCUUACCAAGGCGACGAUGCGUAGCCGACCUGAGAGGGUGAUCGGCCACACUGGAACUGAGACACGGUCCAGACUCCUACGGGAGGCAGCAGUAGGGAAUCUUCCGCAAUGGGCGAAAGCCUGACGGAGCAACGCCGCGUGAGUGAUGAAGGUCUUCGGAUCGUAAAACUCUGUUAUUAGGGAAGAACAAAUGUGUAAGUAACAAUGCACGUCUUGACGGUACCUGAUCAGAAAGCCACGGCUAACUACGUG